rnacentral:tmRNA from 1 species
GGGGCUGAUUCUGGAUUCGACGGGAUUUGCGAAACCCAAGGUGCAUGCCGAGGGGCGGUUGGCCUCGUAAAAAGCCGCAAAAAAAUAGUCGCAAACGACGAAAACUACGCUUUAGCAGCUUAAUAACCUGCUUAGAGCCCUCUCUCCCUAGCCUCCGCUCUUAGGACGGGGAUCAAGAGAGGUCAAACCCAAAAGAGAUCGCGCGGAUGCCCUGCCUGGGGUUGAAGCGUUAAAACAAAUCAGGCUAGUCUGGUAGUGGCGUGUCCGUCCGCAGGUGCCAGGCGAAUGUAAAGACUGACUAAGCAUGUAGUACCGAGGAUGUAGGAAUUUCGGACGCGGGUUCAACUCCCGCCAGCUCCACCA